rnacentral:rRNA from 1 species
GACGAACGCUGGCGGCGUGCCUAAUACAUGCAAGUUGAGCGCUGAAGGUUGGUACUUGUACCAACUGGAUGAGCAGCGAACGGGUGAGUAACGCGUGGGGAAUCUGCCUUUGAGCGGGGGACAACAUUUGGAAACGAAUGCUAAUACCGCAUAAAAACUUUAAACACAAGUUUUAAGUUUGAAAGAUGCAAUUGCAUCACUCAAAGAUGAUCCCGCGUUGUAUUAGCUAGUUGGUGAGGUAAAGGCUCACCAAGGCGAUGAUACAUAGCCGACCUGAGAGGGGGAUGGGCCACAUGGGAAAUGGGACACGGCCCAAACCCCUACGGGGGGCCGCCAGCGGGAUUUUUCGGCAUAGGCCGAAAGUCUGACCGAGAAACCCCCCGGGGGUGAAAAUGGUUUUGGGGCCGUAAACCUCUUUUGGUAGGGAAGACCGUUGGGGAGGUUGAAAAGCCCACAAAGUGACGGUAACUACCCAGAAAGGCACGGCUAACUGCGG